rnacentral:lncRNA from 1 species
AGCACGCGUCUAUAACUAGCCUGUAAAAAAACUUUCGAUCUAUGGGUCAAUGGUAAGGAAAAAAAUAUUAGUCAAUCCUAAAAAAUUAAGGAACCUAAUAUUAACCAUAUAAGGACAACUACCUCACGUGAGGAAAGUUCCAGGAAUGAAUACAAACAAACAAAACAAGUUUGAUUAGCACACGGUGUGGGCAUCUGAUUUCCAACCGGCCCGGCCACCACAAACCAAGACACCUAAACCCAUAUAUAAAUAAGUACACACGCCAACCACCGAACAAUUACAAGCCAACGACCACGGCGGCUUAAACAUGCCACACGCAACUCAACGGCUAGACAAAAAGCCACGUCUAGCCACUUCACUCGACGCCCCACAAAGUCACGCGUAAACACGCUCAAUGCCCGACGAAGCGACAUCAGAAGAAUUGACGCCAAAGCACUUCUGACCUGAUUCAUCAGAUUUGGUAAUUGUUAUUUCACAAGCUUACUUUUUAUGUGUAGAAUCUUCAUAAAUACUAUAUCAAUUGAUAAAUUGUUCCCUGUUAAUUUUGAAGACAUAACAAUAUGGCAUACAAGAAGUUGAGCGACUUAACUACAAGAGGACAGAAUUGGAAUAUUCAAGUGAAAGUAAUGAGAAUGUGGGAUUCAGUGAAUCCUACCACCGAUGAGCUUAUUAGCAUAGAUAUGAUACUGAUGGAUGAGCGGGUUUGUUUUCUAAUAUAUUAAAUUAGAAUUUUUCUGUCAUAUGAAGCAAAUUACUAACCAUAUUUGAUUCUUUUAACAGGGUGAAACAAUCCAUGCUACUAUCUGGAAGAAUCUUAUAGACACUUUUAGAUCAAAGAUCAAUGAAAACUCUAUUUAUGCAUUCAACAAUUUUAAGGUCGUGGAAUCCACAAAAUAUAGGCCAGUGAGUAAUGAAAUUAAAAUAUUUUUUGCAUACAAUACAAAGUUAAAGGAAAUAAAAGGAUCUUCGAAAGUUCUCCCAGAUUAUUGCUUCGAGUUUGCUACCAUGGACACACUAGAAGAAAGGGCCGAAAAAGAUACACAAUGCUCAGGUAUGCUUAUAGUUGUAAUUAUGACCUCCCAAUAAUUGAUACUUCUAAUUUUUAUAUCACUAAUAUCCAAAUAUGCAGAUGUCAUUGGGCUACUAACUCAAAUGAAGCCAGUGGAGACAAGAAUAACAAAAAGGAACCCGCAACCUUCAUAUAUCCGUGAGAUUGAAAUCCUAAUGCCAGAGUAAGUGCAUAUGCAUAUGCAUGUCUCAAAUUUAACUAAACUUCCCCCAUGUGGUUAGCACUAACUUCUCGGAUUAAAUUCUUUAGGGGUGAUAAAAUCAGAAUCACGCUGUGGGGAAAGUUUGCUUAUUUUCUGACCGAGGAUGUAAUCGGCAGCCAAACUGUCCUUAUUAUCACAUCAACGAUGGUGCGGAGAUUCAAUGGUAAGUGCAUAGAUCUUACAUGCUAUUCUUAUCAUUUAAAAUUCUAAUUGAUUGAUUAAACAGGUUUGUGCCUAAAGUCAACGAGUGCCACAAAAAUAUAUAUUGAUCUAGAUAUACCAGAAACACAAGAACUUCUUGAUAGGUAUGAAACACCUCCAGUUUAUUUUUUUCACUCAUAAUUAGUGAGUCAGGUUGAUUCAAGAUUUUAUAUUCUUAUUUACUUCAUACAUGUGCAGGGACUCAACAGAAAAAACCUUACCAAAGAUGAUCAGUAUAGAUAGAAGUAAUCAAGGAACACUAGAAGAACAGAUGUUUUAUAAGAGGAUAACAUUACAAGAACUUACUACAAUGAGGCAUGGAAACCAGUCAGACCAGGUAAUGCAUCAGAAUUCCAAUAAAUGAUACUAUCAAUCUUUGUGAUACGAGAUAAGACCUGCAUGGACAAUUCAUUUAAUAUUAGUUACAAUGGAACCACACCUUGCUUAUUUAUGUCUCUUAAUCCCACACACCACUCAAAUGCUAACACUAUUUUUUCAGGAUUUUGUAUUCACAGCAAUAGCUACAGUAAAUCGUUUGCAAGAAAAUAUUCAAUGGUGGUACAUGUCAUGUGACAAGUGCCACAAAUUGGCUACCAAGGAAACCGAAAAUUAUUAUUGCAAGAGUUGUGGUAUAUAUCCAGAAAAGGUCACACCUCGGUAAGCAUAUUAUAUUACUAAAAUAUGAACAAGAACUGUUAUAUUAUAUUUAUUCCCUACUAACAUGAAUUGGAUGUUUGGUAUCGUGUUCGACUCCAAAUUAGUGACCAUACAUCUACUACAAGUUGCACUUUAUUUGAUGAGGAGGCUGCAAGAUUGCUUAAUACAUCUGCAUCUAAGUUGUUGGACACACAAGAUGGGAAAUCAGAAGAAGUGCCAAAGAUUAUUCAACAAUUAUGUGGAAGGAGACUUAUAUUUAGAUUCAAGCUCAAUGAUAAUAAUCUCACAUUUGGCACACAAAACUAUGCAGUAAAAAGAACAUUUGUGCCCGAUGAUAGGCUUGAGAUGCUCUAUUUGGACAAUAAAGCCGAGGAGGUAAAGCUACAUUAACUUUUUACCAUCUUCAAACUUCCUUAACUAAUCCAUCUUAUAUAUGUUUCGCAGGAAUUGAUGGAUGAUGAGGUGGACAUCGUGUUAAUGAAGAAGCAAAACAUGCCAGAUACAAAGGUGAUUGAUUUUUUUAACUAUAUUCACACUCUUCAGAUUUGAGAGGUGUGUCUAAGUUUCAAAAUGUAUAUGUUUGUAGUCACAGAAUAAUAAAGUUUCAUCUGGCAAACUUUCAUGUGAACAGGUUCUUGUGAAAGAGGAGCCACAUGACAGCACUGGGACUACAUUUAACAAAGAUAAGCAUCAAGACAAAAUAUCAUCGUCAUCACGUGAGCUCCGCAGUGGCACUAAAAGGAGACUGAGAUCUGUUGUAAUAUCAGACGAGUCAGAGGAUGAAUGCAUUGAGACGAAUAUGCCUCAACAAAAGGGAAAAGGUGUUUGCGGGAACAAGAAACAUGUUAAAGCAGAAGCCAAAAAUACAAUGGUUGAAAAUGAAGAUGAAGUACCAAAAUCAAAGGCCAGGAGAAAAAGGAUGUUAUCAAGAUAAUUUGUGGAUCAGUAGCUUAUGAAAUAAAUAGUGCGUCUGUCUAUUUGUAUCGACCAAGAUAAGUAGAGUAUUUGAUUGACAUCGACUAUGAUAAGGAUACUUAUUAGAUUAAGGGUGUGAAUGUUACCAAUGUUCUUAGUCUAUAACAGAUCCAUAACUUUCUUCAUGUAGUUUUCUUUAUGCACAUGCUAUUUUAGGCAAAUCUUUACGAGGCCAGCAUAAUAGACAAGAACAUACUGCAAGGCCAGAGUUUCACACAUUAGGAUUUACUUCACAAUUUGAAGAAACUAUACUUCGCCAGCACAACAGAGAGGAACAUACCGUGCUUCAUCUGUAACUUAAUAGCAGGAUUUGAUAUAAGCAAAUCAAUGGCGUCUUGCUAGCACAAGUGAGCUGCUCAACAAACCUAUAACAAAAUUAAUAUCCAAGGUGAACAAACUUCCUCUUCAUAAGGCCUUUUUUAAGGGAAAAGGCAUCAUUUCUUGCAAAUAACAAAUUAAAAAUACUAUGGAGUACAAUACUACUAUGGAUAAAGUAUAAGAAUUAAUCCUCAGUUGGCACUUACAGUUAGUGGCAGCCUGACAGCAAGAACAAUGAGAAGGCCAGCAUCUUAUGGUCGUCGGCUGCUAUUUAUAUUCUUUAGAUGUCAGAUCUAAUAACUCACUUAGUACGUGACUCGGUGAUUUCCCUCGCAG